CAGUAGCCGCGGUAAUACGUAGGGUGCGAGCGUUAAUCGGAAUUAUUGGGCGUAAAGGGCUCGCAGGCGGUUUCUUAAGUCUGAUGUGAAAGCCCCCGGCUCAACCGGGGAGGGUCAUUGGAAACUGGGAAACUUGAGUGCAGAAGAGGAGAGUGGAAUUCCACGUGUAGCGGUGAAAUGCGUAGAGAUGUGGAGGAACACCAGUGGCGAAGGCGACUCUCUGGUCUGUAACUGACGCUGAGGAGCGAAAGCGUGGGGAGCGAACAGGAGUAGAGACCCCAGUAGUCCCUGUCUCUUAUAC
rnacentral:rRNA from 1 species